GACGAACGCUGGCGGCGUGCUUAACACAUGCAAGUCGAACGGAAAGGCCCCUUCGGGGGUACUCGAGUGGCGAACGGGUGAGUAACACGUGAGUAACCUGCCCUUGACUUCGGGAUAACUUCAGGAAACUGGGGCUAAUACCGGAUAGGAAUCCUUGCUGCAUGGUGGGGGUUGGAAAGCUUCGGCGGUUUUGGAUGGACUCGCGGCUUAUCAGCUUGUUGGUGGGGUAGUGGCUUACCAAGGCUUUGACGGGUAGCCGGCCUGGGAGGGCGACCGGCCACAUUGGGACUGAGAUACGGCCCAGACUCCUACGGGAGGCAGCAGUGGGGAAUAUUGCACAAUGGGCGGAAGCCUGAUGCAGCAACGCCGCGUGCGGGAUGACGGCCUUCGGGUUGUAAACCGCUUUCAGCAGGGGCGAAGCUUGUGGUGACGGUACCUGCAGAAGAAGCACCGGCUAACUACGUG
rnacentral:rRNA from 1 species